rnacentral:rRNA from 1 species
UACGGAGGAUGCAAGCGUUAUCCGGAAUGAUUGGGCGUAAAGCGUCCGCAGGUGGCUAUGUAAGUCUGCUGUUAAAGAGUGAGGCUCAACCUCAUAAGAGCAGUGGAAACUACAUAGCUAGAGUGCGUUCGGGGCAGAGGGAAUUCCUGGUGUAGCGGUGAAAUGCGUAGAUAUCAGGAGGAAUACCGGUGGCGAAAGCGACUCUCUGGACGGUAACUGACGCUGAGGCACGAAAGCGUGGGGAGCAAACAGG